rnacentral:snoRNA from 1 species
AAAACCAAUAUUACUACCAUCGGUCCUCACCACUAGAUCGGUGCUAUGCUUUGUUGGGACAGCAGGCUGUGCCAGUUGGACAACUAAGGUCCAUCUACUGGUCCAGCACACA